rnacentral:lncRNA from 1 species
GAUAAACGAUUCUGGAAUGUCUUUUCAGUAUAUUUCAGUCAUCAAAUUUUCAAGCUUUUGAUCAUUUCGCAUCACUUUCUUGCAGAUUCGACUACAAAGUGGAAGGCAAGUAUUUUUCCAGUAGUUGGAGCAAAAGAUCAACCACUUCUAUCUUUAGUUGGUAAUGUCUUGCUUUCCCCUUUUUCUUCUAAUUGAUCUACUUCUAUUUAGUUAUUGUACCUAUUGGCGGAGUUUGUUUCACUGAGACACUAACAUAAACUAAACGUUACCAUAAACUUAAGAAUUUGGUUAGGUUUCUAAAGCAAUAGCAGGUAUCUUAGAUUAAUUGUUUCUACUCUCUUACCAAUUAGUUAAUAUUAGUCAAUUUUCUUUUGUGUUUUCUUUAACCUUUCCUUUUGGUUUUGUUUCUCUUUUGAAUUAUCCACAUAGACUAUUUUGUCUUGCCGUUCCUUCAAGGUAUUUUCCCCUAUUUUGUGCUUUUUGUUUGUCUGCUGGAAUUAACUCUUUUGGUCUAUUGGGAAUUGGGAUUAACUAUAUGGAGAAAGUGAAGGAAAAGAAAAGUGAUCUUAUUACAAUAAGGUUUGGAAAAUUCUGAUGAAAAUAGUCAUCUAAAAAUAAAUUCAUUAAGAGCGUACUGUAAGUUUAUAAAGAUUUAGUUCUUGCAGUUUUUAAAAAGAUGGAUGAGCAGUGUUGUUGAGUGGACUUUUCUACCAAAGGAAGAAACAGGUAAUUUGGAAUUAUGGAUGCAGGGGAAAGUACAAAAUGAAGAGAUCCAAAGCAACGGGAACUCAUUAUAUGUGCAGCUUGAUUUGGAUAUAUAGAUAACCAUGAAACUGGCUUGAGGUUUCUGCUUUAGUGAAGAAACCGGAAAAAAUCAUGUCUUAUCUUGUUUCUGAUGUGAAGCAACACGAUCAACA